GAACUCUCUUGAAGCCAAACAUGGUGACACCCGGAUCUGAUGCACCAAAGGUUGCACCUGAGGUUAUUGCCGAGCACACCGUUAGAGCUCUGCAGAGAACCGUCCCUGCCGCAGUUCCAGCUGUUGUUUUCUUGUCUGGUGGACAGAGUGAAGAAGAGGCCAGUGUUAACCUCAAUGCCAUCAACCAAAUCAAAGGUAAGAAGCCAUGGACUCUUUCCUUCUCUUUCGGAAGGGCACUUCAACAGAGUACCCUUAAGGCAUGGGGUGGAAAGACAGAAAAUGUGAAGGCAGCUCAAGAUGCUUUGUUGACAAGAGCUAAGGCUAAUUCUGAGGCUACUC
rnacentral:lncRNA from 1 species